CGUCGUCGUUCCAGAACCGUCCGUGUACCGCGCCUAUGCUCCGUUCCCGGCCUCUCCUCGGCUGCCACGGAUGACAAACUUCCAACCAAGAUACUGGAAGUGUCUACGGCUCAGUCGGCUGAGAAAUCGUAUUUCUCUAUCUGUCCGUGUGUGUGAGAGCAUGUAUACUUGUGUGUGAGUGAGUGUACGCGUGUUAAUUGGCACCUAGAAAUAAUUUCACAUUACUAGCUGCUGCUUGGAGUUUGGACAGCUAAAUGCAUGUGCGACCGAGUGUUCUUCGGUUCUAUUUUUUGGCCACUCCGUUGGUACUGGCUUGAUAAAUGAUCGAUCCUGAUGAAAUUACACUUUCACGGUACAGCCAAACUUCACGGACAAAGGAAAAAUGCAACAAAAAAAAUAACAAUCAAAUUUUAUGCCUGAUUUUAAAAUUGCAGCUUAAACUUUAUGCGCGAUUCUAAAAAUUGCGGAUGAAAUUUUAUGCACGAUUCUAAAAAUUGCAGGUGAAAGUUUAUGCGUGAUUCUCAAAUUGCAGGUGAAACUUUUUGCGCGAUUCUAAAAAGUCAGGUGAAACUUUAUGCGGGAUUCUAAAAUUGCAGGUGAAAGUUAUGCACGAUUCUAAAAUUUCAGGUGAAAUAUUUAAAAUUGCAAGUGAAAUUUUCGGAAUACGCAACUCGUCCAAAAGAAAAUUGAGAUAAAAAAAUGUACAAAUUAUCGUAUAAUUUACGUUAGUGCACAUAUAUAAAGUUAAAAACAAAAAAUGUAAGAUAAUAAAAAAUUAAAAAAAAUGAAACGAUUUAUAAAUUAUAAACCAAAAAUAAAAAAAGGAAACAAAAAGCGAAAAGAAACUGGGAA
rnacentral:lncRNA from 1 species